GUGAGAGGAUUGAACUAGGUGAUCCCUAAGAGCCCUCCAAGUGUUGACAGGAUUUCCAUAGUUACCGGAUGGGAAACAGGCAGCGGCAUAUACAACGCUACAUGAGAAUCAGUGCUCUGGGCAAGGGGUCAGAGAGGAAUGAGGAGGGCUCCCUGCCAGCCAUGGUGGACGGAUAAGGCCGCUUGAGCAGAAACCUGGAUCAAGGACGUGAGCGUGCAAAGAGACGGGGAAAUCGCUCCUGGCAAAGGGAGCAGCGAGUGCAAAGGCCCUGGGGUGGCAAAGGAACUUAGCAAGUCCAAGGAGUCAGAGAGCGGCCAGUGAGGCCGGCACACAGGAGCAGAAGAAAGCAUGGCGGGAGGGAAGAGCUACAAGGAAGCAGGAGGGCAGGCCGCCCUCCAGGGCCUCCAAGACCGGAGUUAAGAACUUGGCUUUUGCCCUGUGAGAGAGGGAAACAUGAGAAGGGCUGUGAGAGACGCCCUCAGCAGUUCAAGCCCCGGCUCCGCUCCCAACUCUAGCCUCCUGCUAAUGCACGCCCCAGGAGGCGGCAGAUGAUCGCUCAAGAACGUGGGUCCCUGACAGCCACGCGCGAGACCCAGGCUCCCAGCUUCCGCCUCUGUGUUGCCGACAUUGGGGAGUGAGCCAGGGGAGGAGAGCUCGCUCUUGCACUCUGCCUCUCAAAUGAAUUUUUGUUAAGUUUUUCAUCAUUAGAAAUAUUUCACAGGCUUUUUUUCAUAUCAAGUCUUCCAAGCCACACGCAUGUUUCACACGUCCAGCCCAUCGCAAUUCGGCCUCGUCCCAUUUCUAGUGCCCACCAGCUCGUGCGGCUCCUGUUCUGCAGGUGCAAUUCCAGAGGGCAGGUGUGGACCCAGGGAGACCAGGUGAGAGGCAGCUGGCACGAGUGAAGAGGCGGGGCUUUGUGCUGAGUGGCCCCAGUAAAAGGAACCCCCUCCUGCUGGGUGGUGAGGCAGGGGCGCAGCACGGGCGCUGGGGGAACAUCCCCGGUUCUUGUUUGGAAUCCUCAUUGGCGACUCCCUGGCCGUGCACGCUUCGCAGCCAGCCCGGUGCCGGUGCCGGGGGCUAAUCCACAGAAGCUCAGUGACCUCUCAUCCCAGGGAGCUCCAAGGAGGCCAGCUCCUCCCAGAUCUCUCCCUGCUCCUCUCAGAUAAUUACAGUGAAGCUGUGUGUUUGUAUGUAUGUGUGCUCUUAUUUUUUAAACACACACCCCCACACGUACAUAUGCGUGUGUAUAUACAAACACACACAGCAAUUAGAUCUAUCUGUGCCUGCCAUCGUCCUCGUAUGCUAAAACCUCAGCCAUGGCCAUGCCCCCACGUUGCCAUACUAUGAAGCUGGGGUCACCUGCUCAUGGGCUCCUGAUGUCACACACGUGUGUGUGUGUGUGUGUGUGUGUGCCUGUACACUCUCACCGCUUACACCCAAGCUAGCUCCCUGGUAUUUCUUCAAGGGCAUGACCUCUCACCCCACCUUCUGCCCCCUCCAGGGCAUCAGGCUCUUCUCCCAAUGACCUAAGUACCAGGAAGGUUUUGCUCCACCCCCUGCACUACCACCCCCAUGGGGACACACACCAGUGGCCAUGUCUCCCCCCAAGCCUGGCCAGGGUGGCCUGGGUAUUAUUAGGCUG
ensembl:lncRNA